AUUAUAAAUUCUAGGAUUUUAUCAUAUUAUGAUAGGAUUAAGAGAGAGAAAUAUACCUAACAUGCUCCGUAACAAAAAUUUUCAUGAAGCAGAAAGGAAAAUUCCCCUCAACUAUGCCUCAAGAUAUGGAGGCCUUCAAAAAUCUGCUUACUAACCCUUCAAGCUUGGUAUCCGGGGAUGCUAUCCAUUUCCAAGCAUAAUAAGACUGCAGCAGACUGGAGUAAUAAGGUUCUAAAUGUGAUCGCAAAGUACCCUUUUCCAUAAGGCUACAUAGUCUGUCGUAGAAAUUUAAGGAUCCGUCUUGCAUGUGCUAGUCGUGAUCUGGCUGAGUUCCUUGUUUCUCUAUUUUCUUCUGUUUUGCGCCUAACUUUAUGUGAAGUGCGGUGGUCUAUUCUAUGUAUUGAGUCUAGUUUUCAGUUUCCUCGUUUCCAUUUCCUUGUGGAGAUUUGCUUUACUUCAAUGGAAUGGAUGGAUUGUAUGACACAUCUUACUUUUCAGUGGACCAUGGGUGAACAUAUAUUGCUUUUACCCAUCUUUAUCCAUUCUCCUCCUGUUGCCUCUUCUUGUAAGUUAGGUUAAAGUGUUGCUUGCAAGUGACUUUUAAUGAGAUAAGUACCUGGGGAGAUAAUCUAAAUGCAAUUUAAGUACCUCGUUUUGUCCAUCUAUCCUGGAAAAGCAUGAGUGGAUAAUUUAGGCUUCCGGGCUAAUCAUUUCUGCACUUCUCUCUACGAGUUUAAUAUGCUGAUUAACUUUGUCUGUAAUCUGUAGAGCCAAAAUAUCCUACAGAAUGAUAGUGCAUUGUGAGGAGCGCGGCAAGAGUUCAAACAUAGCCAACCAUUUUGAAAGAUACCAGAUACCAUAGCUCGUGUAUACAUUUCAAUAACUGUUUGCCAACCCAGGAAACUACUUUUUGAUGUCAACUUUUAUGUGCUAUAGGUGAAUAGCUCUGGAGUGAUGCCCAUUUUAUUUUCUACAUCUUCAUUGCCUCUCCCCAGAGCUGUUGCAUGCUUCACGGUUUUAGCUGCACUGAAGAAAGCUGCUGUCGCUCUGAACCCAGGGGUUGCAGUGAACUGCUAUUCUUCACUAAUGCAUUAAAGUUGAGCUUUGCACAUGGAAUAUCUCAACGAGAUCAGUGCCAACUCCUGCACUAUAGAUGCAUGAAAGUGGAAACUUUGUUUAGCUCGAGGCAUAUGCUGGUGGUGGGCUGUUCAGUUUUUUCUCAUUUUGGACAUGUGAUGUGGUCUAAUAGUGAUAAAUAACUAUUGUAGGUUCUCUAGACCUUCCAACCAACAUACUAUUAAUAUCCUCUUUGUUUCACCUCAAGAAGAUCUCUCUCUGCUACCAGGUUCCAAAGUAACAUAUGUUGAAACUUCUAUUCGUAUGUGAUACUUUCUAUUCAUGCUUGAGUGGAAACUCCUCUGCUCGUACUGUAGGAAAGUGGAAACGUUGUUUAGCUCGAGGCAUAUGCUGAUGGUGGGCUGUUCUAUUUUUUCUCAUUUUAGACAUGUGAUGUGGUUUGAUAGUGAUAAAUAACUAUUGUAGAUUCUCUAGACCUUCCAACUAACAUGCUAUUGAUAGCCUUCUUCAA